rnacentral:tRNA from 1 species
CGGGGCGUGGCGCAGUUGGUAGCGCACUUGCAUGGGGUGCAAGGGGUCGAAUGUUCGAGUCAUUUCGCCCCGA